UUCCCCCUCUCACUGCUGAGAGAUGUAGAUGUUACAUCCCCCAGUGCUGAGAGCUUGUGGAAGAGCCCUCAUUUAUACAGGCAGCACUUGCAUGGGUGGAUGGACACUCAAAGAACUCAAUCAGCUGCUGCCCUUCCCUGGAAAUCUGCAGUCAUUCAGCACCACUGAUUUGCAUCUGGGAAGAUUCAGAGAAGACGAAUCCUGCACACACUGCAGAUCCAGCUGUGCCUGACUGACAGAAGUUUCUACUAAGCUCGGUUUUCUGUUUUUAUUAAGAAAUGUUGAGGGAGUAUGUGUGCAGUUAACUUUAUUGCUUGAGCAGAAUUCUGUGGAGUCAUCUCCAGAAUCAAGUAUCUCCUUGUUUCUGCAUGAAUCAAAGGGAACUCUAUGCCUCCUGGAGCUGCAGAAAAGAACUUUCACUGCCUUCCCAUAUUUUUCCUGUCUAGCUGCAGAUCAGGAAUACCAGUAAAGCAGUGGAGCAUCUGAGGAACCCCUUUUUUGACCUGAUGGGAAGGUGAACACUAGAAGUGAGACUGUUAAAUUCUCCUGCAUGGGCACAGACUGGGUACCAGGCAGAACAAAGUCCAAGAUCUUCAAUAUGAAAAACACAAGGCCGUGCCCUUUUAUGUGCCUUCUCACGUUUAAAGGAAGCACUGCGUUUGUUGUUGUGUGUGCCCAGAGAAAGAGAAGCUGCAGAGACCACUUGAGAUUCAGCACCAAACUGCACUUUCAGGACAUGCCCAUUUAUGAAGUAGGGUCUUAUAUUUACCAUGUACUGAGAUUACAGCUGAAUGAAAAGGCUGAAAUACUGAGGAACUUUUUUUUUCUGAGGAGACACUGUGACUUGCCCAGGCUCUAUAAUUGACUGUUCUUGAUUAUGGAAAGGACCUUCAUAUGUGAAUUUCUUUCUUGCAGUUCAAGAUAUUGUCUGGUUUAUACACAACCCCAAAAUACCACCUUUACAGGUGUACAUUUCAAGUAUAACCAUUUACAGUUAGGACACAGAAACACUUGAAUGUGUUCACCCUCUGUUUGCAAGAUCAAUACCCAGAAAUGCCUUUUGCAAAGCAAAUAUUACAUUUUCUUUUCUCUAUGUGCAGUUUUAACUGCUACUUCAGGAAAAUGAGGUUCUGAUCUUGUUCACUACUGAUAAGAGAAGGAUUCUCCAUCUUUAUAGUACUGAGCCUUUAAAGUGAUGGUGACUCAUUUUAGAACAGGAAACUAACUUGGUUUUGGGGAAAGCAAACUUGCAUAUGGCCUUACAAAAAGUUGCAGGUGUAGAAGUUAACAAGGAAGUAUUUUCUGCAUUUUGCACAUUACUCUACAAAGUAAAUGGCAUGGAGAAUGGGCACCUUAUGGGAAAGAUGUUGCCUUUUCCUGUCACAGUGAACAGUCUCUGCUACUCCAAAAAGCACAGUGUUUAAUUUUUUAUAUGUGGACUGAAUAAAAUGUUAGAGGGUAGUUUAAAAGGCUCAUAAAAAAAGACCUGUUAAGAUCUAUACAACUAUUUCCUUAAUAAAGAUGAAUCUCAGGUGCUUCACCAUGGUGGCCUUUGUGCUGCUUCUUGCUCUGCUUUGUUCUCUGAAUUUUUGGCUUGAAAGUUAAACAAAGAUGAAGACUCAGCAAACAAACUGGGGGAAGAAAUAAGCACUAAAUCUUGACCUCCUCUUUGUUUAAAAAAAAAAAAGUCACAAUGAGACUUCAGUAGAGAAAACAUAUUGAAUCAUCCAUAAAGCUGGUCUGAGAAAACAGGAAAGUCCAAAAUCAUACAAGUUAAUGAUCAGGCCACAAUCUCAGUUGACCUAAUUUUCCUCACAGAUUUAGAAAUAUUUCCAAACAGGUAAUAUUAUCUGUGGCAAAAUCCCCAGGUAGAAGAGAGCACUCUCAUGUGCUUCAAUCUUAAUUAUGGAACACUUCAACUUUGGUAGCUUUAAUUAAUUUAUUAACAAGUUCCUGAUGUAGUUAUUUUCUAUUUAAUCUCAUUACUUUUAAUUCUUGCUUCAUAGAUCUUUGUGCACAUAAUUUUCCAGCAGCAUUUUUCUUUAUCUUGAUGCAAGACAUCCACACGGGCAUAGGCUGCUGAUAUAUUCCAUACUUCAUUUCUCGAUAACAUCUGGAUAUCCUGUGGUAGCUUUAUAUAAAUUGGCCCUGAGACCACAAAAAAAGUCUGAAUUCUACUCUUUGAAAGGUGGAACAUAAGCAAAGUCAGUAAAAAUGCACACCCAAGAAAUACAAUCUCUCUGCUGCACAUUUAUCUCAAAAUGCUACAGACAUGACCAUUAGGAAAAACCCACAAUAAUAAAAAUCCCCAGCAAAAUCCCUAAACCAAACCAAAAUCCACAUAAAAAACAGUCCAGAAACAUUCUUUCUUCCCCCU